AGAACGAACGCUGGCGGCAGGCCUCAAACAUGCAAGUCUAGGGGGUGUAGCAAUACAUCACCGGCGGACGGGUGCGUAACGCGUGGGAAUGUACCUAUUGGUUCGGAACAACUGAGGGAAACUUCAGCUAAUACCGGAUGAGCCCGAAAGGGGAAAGAUUUCUCGCCAAUAGAUCAGCCCGCGUCCGAUUAGCUAGUUGGUGGGGUUAAAGCCUACCAAGGCGACGAUCGGUAGCUGUUCUGAGAGGAAGAUCAGCCACACUGGGACUGAGACACGGCCCAGACUCCUACGGGAGGCAGCAGUUGGGAAUCUUGGACAAUGGGGGAAACCCUGAUCCAGCCAUGCCGCGUGAGUGAUGAAGGCCUUCGGGUUGUAAAACUCUUUCGACGGGGACGAUAAUGACGGUACCGUAGAAGAGCUCCGGCUAACUCGCGCCAGCAGCCGC
rnacentral:rRNA from 1 species